CAGUCCAGCCCUAAUCGCCAUGGAGAAGGGAGAGAAGCCCAAGUCGUCGCUGCCAGGACUGUGGAAGUACCCGUCCCUCCGUGACGUGCCGCUGCACUCCGGAGGGCUGUGGCUGCAGGGCCGGCGCGAGGACGACGGCGCCGAAGGGUUGUGGCGCGUCCACGACCGCCUCUACGACCUCACCGGCUGGGAGAAGACGCACCCCGGCGGCUCUGACUGGAUCACACUCACCAAGGGAACGGACAUCACAGAAGCAUUCGAAGCACAUCAUGUACGCAAUGUUGCGGAAACCAAGCUGAAGGACUUCUACGUGCGAGACGCGAAAACGCGGCGCAACUCGCCGUACGUCUUUGAUCCGAAGGGCUUCUACUGCACGCUGAAGGAACGCGCACGCCAGGCGCUGGCGAACGAGAAGUACGUCGGCUCCACAGGCACCGUCUACUCCAAGCUGUUGGCAGACUUCCUGGUGACAUCGAUGCUGACCCUGAGCGUGUUGGCUGCGUGGACGCAGAGCUACCUGGUAGGCACCUUGGCUGGUCUGAUGCUCUGCUUCACUGUCAUCUGUGCGCACAACUUCACUCAUAUGAAGGACAACAUUCGCAUGUACUACCUCGAUUUCUCCAUGAUGUCAUCCAGAGACUGGCGUAUCAGUCACGUUCUGAGUCAUCACCUCUACCCCAACACGCUCCUUGAUCUGGAACUGUCUGUGUUUGAACCUCUGUUCAACUUCUUCCCAUUUGAAGAGAAAAAUUUCAUUGUCCGUUACGGAAGCUGGUUCUACGCUCCUUUGGUGUGGACGUUUAGUUUCCACGCUAGCUUCGUACGCAGGAUUCUUGACAGAUUUAUUGGCAGUGGGCUCGAAAUACGGAAAGCAGAACUCAUACCUCUGAUAAUACCUGCAUCUAUGAUCUUUAUCGCUGGAGCGUCAGUGAAAGAUGCUGUUUACAUGUGGCUGUACAUCACACUUUCUGCAAGUCUGUUUUUCAACUUCAUUGGAAUCACUGCUGCUCACCACCAUCCAGUUAUUUUCCACGACGGAGAUACCCCAAGGUAAGUCUUGCGUUGUAGGCGAGUGCUGGAAUGAUCCCUGCGAUCAAUUUCCUUCCCCAUCGUUCGAGUUUGUUUUCUCUCUCUAAUGAAUUCGUCGUUUGCGCUAUGAUUUUCCAGCAUUUAGUUUGCCUGUCUUAUUGUGUAAGAAAUUACCUUUAGAGCACUGUAGCGCCAGCUGUGAAUACUAAAAACUGUCUUCCGUAGUUUUGUUAUGUUUUAUCUAUCAUCAAUCAGUACCAUGUGUAUUUUACCUUUUCUGGCAUUAGGUCCUUAUUUUUUCCAUAAAAUGUUUAUCUUCUUGUUGUUUUUCAUUUUCUACGUUUUUCCUUUUAAGUCGCCCAUAACAGUUGCCUUUUUCUUCUUCUCCAUCACCGUUACAGUAUGGAUAUUGCCUACCUUUUCCUUUGUUAAGGGUUUCUUUAAUAUUUGACACAAGCACUAAAGUUAAAAAAUACUAAAACUGUUUGUAAUUAUACAGGGUCAUUCUAAAAGAGAGGCACAAUUUAAUAUAGUUUUAUAUCACGAAAUACAAAUUCUAUGUGAAUAAUAUACACACCACUGGAAAGAUGAGGAACUAAGGUUCGAUUACCACCGCUAGAGCGCUGAAAGUUGAUUCCGGAGCAGAGGGCAUUUCAUCUCUGAUUCGGUAUUGAGCCACCAAGUAGGAAACACAUAAGUUAGAGAUUUCAUCAAUUUUUCAUCAAGAUAUCUUUGCAAAAAAUAGACCACAGAUUGACCAUGUGUUUCACACCUGCUUAGAUGUUUGCUAUGAUGCAGGAGGCGGAUACACUGAACAUUCUUGCAGAAGAAUAAAAUGCGUUUCGUAUGCGAAGAUCUCUCAUAGACAUUGUUUUUCCAGUCUGCUAAAUUAUUAAAAGACAAAGAGAAUACAAUGAUUCCACAUACAUAGCCAUCGUCGGCUUUGAGAAAGCCUUUGAUAAAGCUAAUAGAGUUACAUUAUGAGAACUGAUAGAAAAGAAUCAUGUACCUCUGCCUCUAAUAAGUGUGAUUCAAAGUAUGUACACACACAACAUUAUCAAAGUACAAAAAGGAAGUUCGUUUGUGAGACCCAUCUCUCAAGGAAUGAUAUAAGGGUGCUUUAUAUCAUCCACAUUAUUUUAGUACAUCACCCAUAUUAUUUAACACAUACGUAGACAUCGUCGUAAAGACAUAACAGUAUAAAGUUGCGAACCAUUAUACGCUUAAUAAUGCGGUUAUAAAUUUACUCCUGUUUGCAGGUGAUCAAAUAAUCUUCGCAGACUCGGAAGAUAAAUUACAGAGAGCAAUUAACUCCUGCACAAUACAGCAAAUUAUUACUAUAUGAAAGUAUGGCUCUGAGCACUAUGGGACUUAACAUCUAUGGUCACUAGUACCCUAGAACUUAGAACUACUUAAACCUAACUAACCUAAGAACAUCACACAACACCCAGUCAUCACGAGGCAGGGAAAAUUCCUGACCCCGCCGGGAAUCGAACCCGGGAACCCGGAAUAUGAAAGUAUCUAAAAAUAAAAGUAAGAUAAUGGUAUAUUAUGGCAUAGAGCAAUUGCGUGGAAAAAUAGUAAUUGGUGAUAAAGCGCUAGAAGAAAUAAAUAAUUUUAAAUACCUGGGAUGUGAGAUCCAAUUUAAUUCAUCCAAUGAUUAAGAAAACAAACUGUAAAAGUUUCAACACUUGGCAGGUACUAUAAAUUGCACUGUCCUCGAAAAAAGUUAGGAAGGAGGCAGUACUAAAAUUUCAGAAUGUAAUGGGAGUAUCAUUUAUAAUGUAUAGGCCAGAGACCUACACCCUAAACGUCAAACGACGGAGGAAAUUGAAGCAGCAAAUAUGAGACUCCAGCCACUAGCUACUUACAAACACUUAGGUCAGAAAAAGGACAGUGAAAUUAAAA